rnacentral:rRNA from 1 species
GACGAACGCUGGCGGCGUGCCUAAUACAUGCAAGUAGAACGCUGAAGGAGGAGCUUGCUUCUCCGGAUGAGUUGCGAACGGGUGAGUAACGCGUAGGUAACCUGCCUGGUAGCGGGGGAUAACUAUUGGAAACGAUAGCUAAUACCGCAUAACAGUAGAUAUCGCAUGAUAUCUGCUUGAAAGGUGCAAUUGCAUCACUACCAGAUGGACCUGCGUUGUAUUAGCUAGUUGGUGAGGUAACGGCUCACCAAGGCGACGAUACAUAGCCGACCUGAGAGGGUGAUCGGCCACACUGGGACUGAGACACGGCCCAGACUCCUACGGGAGGCAGCAGUAGGGAAUCUUCGGCAAUGGACGGAAGUCUGACCGAGCAACGCCGCGUGAGUGAAGAAGGUUUUCGGAUCGUAAAGCUCUGUUGUAAGAGAAGAACGAGUGUAAGAGUGGAAAGUUCACACUGUGACGGUAUCUUACCAGAAAGGGACGGCUAACUACGUG